GAUUGGCUUAGCAUUAUGGAACUAACUACUAGUAUAGGAUAUACCCAGCCUUGGUAUCAUGUGAUGUGUGAUGUAGCAAUGCUUGUAGGAGAUAUGAUGUCAUAAAGCAGAUGCAUUGUCGGAGAGCAAGAUGUGAUGGGAACUUAUGGGUGUGGUUAUAGAAAGUGGGUGUGAUGUCAGAGAGUGCUGCAAUGUCAGUGCACAUUAGUAUAAUGUCAUAAAGUAGGUGGAGAUGUCACUAUUAUAGUGACAGUGAGUAUAGUAUCAAAGAAUAACAGCACUAUAAGACUUGCAGGUAUAAUUUCAGAGACUGUGUAUGAUGUCAGAGAGCAGAGGGAGGAAGGAGGAAGUGUAAUUAUGACGUGAUGUCAGAUAAUGAAUGUAGUGCCAGGAUUUGAUAUAAGAAAGUGAAUGUGAUUGCAUUCACACAGACUUAUUAGCUAAAGUUAGAAUCCAACGUGGAAUUCAAAAUUAGGGCCAAAAUAGCUACAUGGGAAAAUUAUUAUUAGUUAGCUUUGGUUCACUUCAGCUAUUCUGGCUUUAAAGUAACACUAUAUGCACCAAAAUAACCUUUGCUUAAUAAAGAAGGUUU